AUGCUUUACGGCUUAGAAUCGGGACUUCAAAGACGUUUUGAACGUCAUGGAGCAUAUGAGAUGUUCCAAGAGUUGAAGUUAAUAUUUCAAACAAAUGCCCGAGUUGAGAGAUAUGAAGUCUCCAAUAAGUUCUAUAGCUGCAAGAUGGAGGAGAAUAGUUCUAUCAGUGAACACAUACUCAGAAUGUCUGGGUACCAUAAGCACUUGACUCAGCUGGGAGUUAAUAUUCGUGAUGAUAGUGUCAUUGACAUAGUUCUUCAAUCACUUCCACCAAGCUAUGAAGGCUCUAUAAUAUGCAAGGGAUGGAAAAGACAAUUCCCGAGCUCUUCGCAAUGCUAA
rnacentral:rRNA from 1 species